rnacentral:rRNA from 1 species
GUGGGGAAUCUUGCGCAAUGGGCGAAAGCCUGACGCAGCCAUGCCGCGUGAAUGAUGAAGGUCUUAGGAUUGUAAAAUUCUUUCACCGGGGACGAUAAUGACGGUACCCGGAGAAGAAGCUCCGGCUAACUUCGUGCCAGCAGCCGCGGUAAUACGAAGGGGGCUAGCGUUGCUCGGAAUUACUGGGCGUAAAGGGAGCGUAGGCGGACAGCUUAGUCAGAGGUGAAAGCCCAGGGCUCAACCUUGAAAUUGCCUUUGAUACUGGCUGUCUUGAGUUUGGGAGAGGUGAGUGGAACUCCGAGUGUAGAGGUGAAAUUCGUAGAUAUUCGGAAGAACACCAGUGGCGAAGGCGACUCACUGGCCCAAUACUGACGCUGAGGCGCGAAAGCGUGGGGAGCAAACAGGAUUAGAAACCCUGGUAGUCC